UACGGAGGGUGCAAGCGUUGUUCGGAAUUACUGGGCGUAAAGCGCACGUAGGUGGCGACGUAAGUCGGGUGUGAAAGCCCCGGGCUCAACCUGGGAAUUGCAUUCGAGACUGCAUUGCUGGAGUACGGAAGAGGAGGGCGGAAUUCCCGGUGUAGCGGUGAAAUGCGUAGAUAUCGGGAGGAACAUCAGUGGCGAAGGCGGCCCUCUGGUCCAGUACUGACACUCAAGUGCGAAAGCGUGGGGAGCAAACAGG
rnacentral:rRNA from 1 species